rnacentral:rRNA from 1 species
UACGGAGGGUGCGAGCGUUGUCCGGAAUCAUUGGGCGUAAAGGGCGCGUAGGUGGCCCCUCAAGCGUGCGGUGAAAGUCAGGGGCUCAACCCCUGAUCGGCCGUGCGAACUGGGGAGCUUGAGCACUGUAGAGGCAGGCGGAAUUCCGGGUGUAGCGGUGGAAUGCGUAGAGAUCCGGAAGAACACCGGUGGCGAAGGCGGUCUGCUGGGGUCGAACUGACGCUGAGGCGCGACAGCGUGGGGAGCAAACAGG